rnacentral:rRNA from 1 species
UACCAGCACCCCGAGUGGUCGGGACGUUUAUUGGGCCUAAAGCAUCCGUAGCCGGUUCUACAAGUCUUCCGUUAAAUCCACCUGCUCAACAGAUGGGCUGCGGAAGAUACUAUGGAGCUAGGAAGCGGGAGAGGCAAGCGGUACUCGAUGGGUAGGGGUAAAAUCCGUUGAUCCAUUGAAGACCACCAGUGGCGAAGGCGGCUUGCCAGAACGCGCUCGACGGUGAGGGAUGAAAGCUGGGGGAGCAAACCGG